CCAGCAGCCGCGGUAAUACGGAGGAUCCGAGCGUUAUCCGGAUUUAUUGGGUUUAAAGGGUGCGUAGGCGGCUUUUUAAGUCAGGGGUGAAAGACGGUGGCUCAACCAUCGCAGUGCCUUUGAUACUGAAGAGCUUGAUUACACUAGAGGUAGGCGGAAUGUGACAAGUAGCGGUGAAAUGCAUAGAUAUGUCACAGAACACCGAUUGCGAAGGCAGCUUACUAUGGUGCAAAUGACGCUGAGGCACGAAAGCGUGGGGAUC
rnacentral:rRNA from 1 species